AAUUUGAAGCAUGUUGUUUAAUUCGAUAACCCACGAUAAAUCUUACCACUUCUUGUAUAAAGAGUUAUCUCGUUUCUCCAAUCUUUCAAAAAAAAAUUUCUUGAAGAAUUUCCUCCUCGAAAGAGAAAGGAAAAGAAAUUUCUUGAAAAAAAUUCGAGAACUUUGUUAUUCUCUUUACAGGUGUUGCAUGGCUGUCUUUAGUUCGUGUUGUGAAAUGUUUGGUUAAUUCCUCUAACGAACGCAAACCUUAUCUUUAAUUGAUUCUCCCUCCUUAGGGAAAUAUUUAAAGAAAUAUCCUUCGAGAAGAAGGAGUAAUUAGGAUGAAGACAAGUCCUCAUGACCCUUAUGAAGUGGGCUACAGACGUGCCACAAAAAUUUCGACAAUAGGAUGCAAAGAUCCAAAUCUGAGCUAAUCCCCGAAAAGAAAUUUCAGUACCAAUAAGAAUCUGAAACUCNNUUCUUUGAA
rnacentral:rRNA from 1 species